rnacentral:misc_RNA from 1 species
GAUGAAGAACGCAGCGAAAUGCGAUAAGUAAUGUGAAUUGCAGAAUUCAGUGAAUCAUCGAAUCUUUGAACGCACAUUGCGCCCCCUGGUAUUCCGGGGGGCAUGCCUGUCCGAGCGUCAUUACAACCCUCAAGCACGGCUUGUGUGUUGGGCCUCCGUCCUCCUCCCGGGGGACGGGCCCGAAAGGCAGCGGCGGCACCGCGUCCGGUCCUCGAGCGUAUGGGGCUUCGUCACCCGCUCUUGUAGGCCCGGCCGGCGCUUGCCGACACAUCAAUCUUUUUUCCAGGUUGACCUCGGAUCAGGUAGGGAUACCCGCUGAACUUAAGCAUAUCAAUAAGCGGAGGA